AAGGACGAACGCUGGCGGCGUGCUUAACACAUGCAAGUCGAACGGUGAAGGGAAGCUUGCUUCCCGGAUCAGUGGCGAACGGGUGAGUAACACGUGGGCAAUCUGCCCCAGACUUUGGGAUAACUACUCGAAAGAGUAGCUAAUACCGAAUAUUCAGCCUUGCAGGCAUCUGCGAGGCUGGAAAGUUUCUCGGUCUGGGAUGAGCCCGCGGCCUAUCAGCUAGUUGGUGAGGUAAUGGCUCACCAAGGCGACGACGGGUAGCCGGCCUGAGAGGGCGACCGGCCACACUGGGACUGAGACACGGCCCAGACUCCUACGGGAGGCAGCAGUGGGGAAUAUUGCGCAAUGGGCGAAAGCCUGACGCAGCAACGCCGCGUGCGGGAUGAAGGCCUUCGGGUUGUAAACCGCUUUCAGCAGGGAAGAAGCGAAAGUGACGGUACCUGCAGAAGAAGCACCGGCUAACUACGUG
rnacentral:rRNA from 1 species